ensembl:lncRNA
AUGCUGGAAUUCUUGGAUCAUCAUAUGCCUCAACUGGACAUCAGAGGCCGUGAGAACAGUGUUGGCUUUGUCGUUCAGCUUCCUGAAGANAUUUCUGCACCCCCUAUUUCUGCUGUUGCUGAGAACCUUAUGGAAAGCCUAGCAUGUCAGGCACCAGCACUGAUUCGGGACAUCCUCGAGAGCCACCCGCAUGGUCUAAAAAUGAAGAAGCUAAGUGAAGUCUUAAAAACGAAGUAUGGGUUUGACCUAGAAUCAUUCUGUUGUGUCCUUGGCUACAACAGUGUGGAGUCUUAUCUACAGGACAUUCCUGGGCUGUUUAGGACCCGGAACUGUGUUAUCCGCCUUCGGCCACGUUCCCCAAGUCCUGCUCCUUCCCUGGACACAGAUUUUUCUGCAUGCUACUCAAAUGGUGCUCAUGAGNAGUUAACAACAAAAGAUUCUGGGGCUGCCAGCACUACUCCUGCUUUGGACAGUGAUGUGUCUGCGGGUAGCUGGAAUGCUGUGUCCCAGAAAAAGAUAGCAAAGAAGCCUGACCUUGGGUCUUCCUUCAUCCCAGUCCUUAAUGUUCUUCAAAAUCACCCCCAUGGUCUGAAUCUAAAGGAACUGAAGGAGAACCUGAAGAAAAAGCAUGGCUUUGACUUGGAUGCUGCCAGUCAACAACUGGGCUAUGGGCAUGUUGUAGCUUUCCUGCUGAAUGUGCCAGGGCUUAGUUUCACUUUCACCAGUGGCAAGUGGCCCUGCAACUGUGUUGUUAGGCUGCUUUCGGAUAGGAAUGGCAUUCCAUCCUUGACCCUCAGUGGUGGUCCUUCUUUGGAUAAGUUCCCGUCAUCCAGUGGCUCAGACAUCCUUCCUCAGCCUUUGAUGGAAACACAGCCAGUUUCCCAUGCCCUCCCUCCUCCUGGUACUACUUCAUCCUUGGACUCAGAAAAGUUUGCCAGUAAAUCAGAAACCCCAGAUGAAAAUAUGCUGGGAAAGAAGCCAGCUGCAUGUGCAUCUGCUUCAUCCCAGUGCAGCACUUCUCUCUCUGAAAACAAGGAAGAACCCACUGUCACAUCAAAAAAAUGUAAUCAAAAUGAGCUAGGAAAGAAGGCUGCUGAGUUGACAGAAGUCUUGCAAUUACUCACCAACCUCCUAUCGAGACACAAGUGUGGCCUGAGAGUUAAGAAAGUUCAGGAAAUCCUGUUGACCACAGAAAAAAUUGAUCUAGAGCAGUACAGUAUUGCCCUAGACUACAAGGACUCACUGGAAUUUUUGGAGCAUCGGAUGCCGGAUCUAAAGAUCAAACACCGAGAGAACAGAGCCAAGUGUGUUGUUCGGAUUGGAUCAGGUCCUGAUGCCAUCCCUUCUGUUUCUGAUGCUCCUGUGCCACUCUUGAAGCCAACAAAACCCAAUAAGCUGCCUGACUCUGCACCAGUUAAUUCUGCACACGACUCUGGUGCUAUGUGCAAGCCUUCAUUCACUGUCCAGGAAUCAUUGUCGUGUAAAUCAAAGAUUCCGAGUUUACCAGCUUUGACUACUUUAGCAGCACCGGCAAUAGGGAACAGACCUCCUACCAGCCUGCCACUUCCGUCUGUUAUGCAUCCAACACCUCCAUCUCUUCUACACUCCCAUGGGGUUUUAUCAACCAAUCAGAAGAACUUCUCCCAGCCUCUCUCCAGCAUUCCAUCCCAGCAGUCAAGUGCCUACCAGUCCAAUGGAUCACUAUCAGCUAAAAAAGCUCCUGGUCUGUCAGAUGUCCAGCCUUCUAAGGACCUUGUAGAACUGAAGCAACAGGUGUCCCUCAUUUUGUCUAGGUAUCCUGAGGGGAUGUCACUCUUCCAGUUUCGUGCUGCCUAUAGUGCCGCUUACCAACAGCACCUGCCCCUAGGCAAUGCUUCCUCUGCCAAGCAACGCCUGAUGCAGAUGCCAGAUGUUGUUACUCUGUUGGGCUGUGGGGUCCAGACGCUGCUUCUACCUGCAUCCUCUCAGCCAUUGACUGUAAAGUCUGAUCAGCCUGUUUCUUGCAAAUUGGAAAAUGCAUCGCUGAUUCCCAGCUGUCCGCUGCCCAUAUCUCCAGCAGUGACUAAGCCUACAUCAGUAGUCAAGCCAUCUUCUGUUUCCUGGAUUCCAGGCAUGUCUCAGCCCCACACCAUUUGUCCUCUCUCUUCAGAUCCUCUCAGCCACCUCUUGAAGGCAAAGGAAAACACAAGUUCUAAACAAGAGCAUGGGAACACCAGAGCCAUUUUAGAAGACCAUGCAAUCAAACCUGGUCUGCCCAAGAUAAAGCAUACUGAAGCGGUUCUUGGCCAGCCUUUGCCAAAAAAUGUUGCUGUGGUAGUUCCUGAACCUUGCCUUAGGCCUGCAGAUCCCACUGCUGCAGUAUUGUCUGGGCCCUGGCCCUCUCUCUCUUCACUCCGGUCUUCUGAAUUUCCAGUCCAGAAGGCACUCAAACCUUUAGGUUCUGUGCCAGAACUGGUGAGGACUAGACCCAAACCAGUAGACAAUUCCCAGUGCCCUGUAGUGCACCCAGGAGCUUCCCAAACCAGAAGAUGGGCCGAGGUUGUGAAAUCCAAUAACCUUAAGUCCAGCACCACAGUUCCAGCUAACUCUUGGCAUUUUAGUAGUAGUACUUCAGGUUCCCACUUUCAGCCUGUCUCUGGCAGCUCUUCAACAUGGAAUCAACCAGUUGUGCACCCUUCUCUACCAGUCUUUUCUCUCCAUCCAGCAGCAUUCCUUCCAGUUUCUGGAAAGCCCUCUGAGAUCCAGUUUUCAAAUACUGCAAUGUAUACCUGCAGAGACAUCUGGCCUACACCUCAAAUUAGUCCAGCAAAAGAAGUGUCUUCCAUCCAAAUCCCAGAAAAGGUGAACUGUGUUCAUACCGUGCCAGAACAAAAUUCCUUUUCUCAGGGACACAAGGUAUCCCAAACCCUAGGGUUCCCCACUAGCUUGACUCCUGUCCAAUCUGUCAGACAGCAUCCUGUUUCUUCCCCUCCCCAAAACAUAUCCAGCUUCCACCCACCCAGAUCGAAGAUUUUUAAUGGAUCAGAAGGUGAUCAAUGUAUACGCUUAGAUACUUUGCCACACCAUUCUUUUUCCGAUAAAAGCCUUGUGAGGGGUGUGUCUUCAAGCAAAGUUUCUUCUGAGUUUCCAGCAUCCACACAGCAGAAACGGAACAGUGAUGGGAGCUAUUCUGCAACCUCCACAAGCAAACUGUCAUUGCUUUCACAGUCUGCACACACCAACACUGCCCAGCAGUCUGUAUAUCCUUCCUUCCCUGUCAGCAGUGAUCCUGCUCUUCUUCAUUCUGAGUCUGGAACCAUCAGAUAUCAGAAAUACACUGAUGUGGACUCCACCAUAACUGCCUCAAGCACAAAGCCAGCCAACUUGCUGCCUUCCCCUCCAUGCUCCCCAACUAUCCCAUCCUGGCAGCCCCUGUAUGCUUCCUCUCACAUUAGCAAUCAGUCUUCUGCAACGUCUCAGUCUUGGAACUAUGUGCAUCAGAAACGAGAUGCCCAAGUGAGCCCUGUCAAAAUGAUCACAGACCCAAAAUUGACAACUUUGCCUUCUUCCCCUUUUGGAACUCCACCUACCCUAUCUCGCCAGCCCUCUUUUCAUUCCAGGGUGGAUUAUGGUGCUUCUAAUGGGGCUGGACUGCUGGACAGUUCUCCACUCUUUUCUCCUCCUCCUCUGAAUAACUUUCCUAACAAAAUGUCUGAGAAAUGUGUUAUCUUAUAAUAGCAAAUAUUAUGGAGGUAAUUCCAAAAGGCUUUUAUGCAUGGAUAUUUGUUUUUAGAGGAUGACCUUGAUACUGAAUGAUGUCUUUUGUGUCCAGCUGAGCCAGGCUGCCCUGGAUAUUUCAGUUCAAUCAUCAGUUGCUGCGGUCUUAGAUUUUAAAAUCCUGUUCCUCUGUGAAUCUUUUUUAAAAAACUGGAUGCCAAGAUCUCCUAAAGCAUACAGAGUGGGAGAGCAGGAAGGCUUUUGGACACGAGCAGGCUGUAAGUCCAAAGCUGCUCUUCAAAAUGAGGUGAACAAUGAAGACUGAACUUCUUUGAUCAUGUUUCUGUAGAACCCAAGAUUAGUUUCAAUGCAACAAUAAUAAUGAAAUAGAAAUGGGUGAGAGAGCCAAUGCACAACAGUAAAAUAUUCUAAAAAACAUCAACUGCAAGAAGAAAAUGGCACAUCCUCUACCUGGAUCAGGGGUGGCUUAAGCAGGAUGAGACCAAACCUGAUGUGUGCCUCUUUGGGCUAAUUUGGUGCCCUUGAAAUGCCUUUGCUUUUUGAGCACUUAGUGGGCUAAGAGGAGGAUAGUUUGCCAUGUUGGGAGUUACAGUGAGUUUGGGAGAUGGAGUGGGAAUCUCAUGCAUUCUUCCUACCCANCUGCCUCACAUUCAUUUACUUUCUUUGGCAGGAGGAAGAAAGGAAAGUAGGUCUUUGCAGGAGCUGUCAGCACUCCUUACCUGUUACUCUCUGGCUAGCUGGUCAACCCUUGAUUCAGCCCAGGGCUGAAGUACUUCAUAUGGUUUAUGUCAGGUGACAAGAAUGGUGUGGAGAUGGCUCCUAAAGGAUGUUGGCUCUCCUGCAAAGCUUUCCUUGAGUGAGAGUUCCUUGGGCAGAGAGUCACUGUGGAAAGGCCCUGAUCUGUGCACAUCUUUGCUUUGGUCAGGGAGGGGGCAUAGGGGACGACCUCUUAAAGCAGGUUCAUUUUUAAUGGCCAAGAUCUGUAGUGUAUUCUGUG